rnacentral:rRNA from 1 species
GUGGGGGACAUUGCACAAUGGAGGAAACUCUGAUGCAGCGACGCCGCGUGAGUGAAGAAGUAUUUCGGUAUGUAAAGCUCUAUCAGCAGGGAAGAUAAUGACAGUACCUGACUAAGAAGCCCCGGCUAACUACGUGCCAGCAGCCGCGGUAAUACGUAGGGGGCAAGCGUUAUCCGGAUUUACUGGGUGUAAAGGGAGCGUAGACGGAAUGGCAAGGCUGAAGUGAAAUCCUGCGGCUUAACUGCAGAAUUGCUUUGGAAACUGUCAAUCUGGAGUGUUGGAGAGGUAAGCGGAAUUCCUGGUGUAGCGGUGAAAUGCGUAGAUAUCAGGAAGAACACCGGAGGCGAAGGCGGCUUACUGGACAAUAACUGACGUUGAGGCUCGAAAGCGUGGGAAGCAAACAGGAUUAGAAACCCUGGUAGUCC